rnacentral:rRNA from 1 species
UACGUAGGGGGCAAGCGUUGUCCGGAUUUAUUGGGCGUAAAGAGCUCGUAGGUGGUUCGGUAAGUCGGAUGUGAAAUCUCCAGGCUCAACCUGGAGGGGUCAUUCGAUACUGCCGUGACUAGAGGUCGGUAGGGGAGUGUGGAACUGCGAGUGUAGAGGUGAAAUUCGUAGAUAUUCGCAAGAACACCAGUGGCGAAGGCGGCUCACUGGCCCGAUACUGACGCUGAGGCACGAAAGCGUGGGGAGCAAACAGG